rnacentral:rRNA from 1 species
GACGAACGCUGGCGGCGUGCUUAACACAUGCAAGUCGAACGAAGAGCGAUGGAAGCUUGCUUCUAUCAAUCUUAGUGGCGAACGGGUGAGUAACGCGUAAUCAACCUGCCCUUCAGAGGGGGACAACAGUUGGAAACGACUGCUAAUACCGCAUACGAUCUAACCUCGGCAUCGAGGAUGGAUGAAAGGUGGCCUCUAUUUAUAAGCUAUCACUGAAGGAGGGGAUUGCGUCUGAUUAGCUAGUUGGAGGGGUAACGGCCCACCAAGGCGAUGAUCAGUAGCCGGUCUGAGAGGAUGAACGGCCACAUUGGGACUGAGACACGGCCCAGACUCCUACGGGAGGCAGCAGUGGGGAAUCUUCCGCAAUGGACGAAAGUCUGACGGAGCAACGCCGCGUGAGUGAUGACGGCCUUCGGGUUGUAAAGCUCUGUUAAUCGGGACGAAAGGCCUUCUUACGAAUAGUUAGAAGGAUUGACGGUACCGGAAUAGAAAGCCACGGCUAACUACGUG